AUCUCAACCUAUUCUCAAACUUUAAAUGGGCAGCAUGAGUGCGCGCGAUAGGACCCGAAAGAUGGUGAACUAUGCCUGGGCAGGGCGAAGCCAGAGGAAACUCUGGUGGAGGUCCGCAGCGGUCCUGACGAGCAAAUCGGUCGUCCGACC